UACGUAGGGAGCAAGCGUUGUCCGGAAUCAUUGGGCGUAAAGCGCGCGUAGGUGGCUUCGUAAGUCCGCUGUGAAAGUCGGGGGCUCAACCCUCGAAUGCCGGUGGAUACUGUCGGGCUAGAGUGCGGAAGAGGCGAGUGGAAUUCUCGGUGUAGCGGUGAAAUGCGUAGAUAUCGAGAGGAACACCUGCGGCGAAGGCGGGUAGCUGGGCCGACACUGACGCUGAGGCGCGAAAGCCAGGGGAGCGAACGGG
rnacentral:rRNA from 1 species